rnacentral:rRNA from 1 species
AACGAACGCUGGCGGCGUGGAUUAGGCAUGCAAGUCGAGCGAGAAAGGGGGGGGGUAACUCCCCUGAGUAAAGCGGCAAACUGGUGAGUAACAGGUGGGUAACGUGCCCGGAAAUGGGGAAUAACUCCUGGAAACAGGGGCUAAUACCGCAUGUGGCUCAGGAGUCCCCGGACUCUGGAGUUAAAGGUUCCUUAAGCAAUUGAGGAGUCGUUUCCGGAUCGGCCCGCCCCUGAUUAGCUAGUUGGUAGGGUAAAAGCCUACCAAGGCGACGAUCAGUAGCUGGCCUGAGAGGGUGGUCAGCCACAAUGGGACUGAGAUACGGCCCAUACUCCUACGGGGGGCAGCAGUCUAGAGGCUUCCGCAAUGGGGGAAACCCUGACGGAGCGACGCCGCGUGUGGGAUGAAGUCUUUCGGGAUGUAAACCAUUUUCGCUGGGAAAGAAGGUCUCAGUCGUGAACUGAGAAUUGACGUACCGGUAAGAAGCCCGGCUAACCCGUGCCAGCAGCCGGCGGUAAACUCGUCUCUA